CAACCUGGUUGAUCCUGCCAGUUAGUGAUAUGCUUGUCUCAAAGAUUAAGCCAUGCACGUGUCAGUAUAAGCUUUUAUACGGUGAAACUGCGAAUGGCUCAUUAAAUCAGUUAUAGUUUAUUUGAUGGUUUUCUACUUGGAUAACCCGAGUAAUUCUCUGGCUAAUAUAUGCUGAAGACCCUUUACUGGGUUG
rnacentral:rRNA from 1 species